UCCUACGGGGGGCAGCAGUGAGGAAUAUUGGUCAAUGGCCGCAGGCCUGAACCAGCCAAGUCGCGUGAGGGAUGACGGUCCUAUGGAUUGUAAACCUCUUUUGUCGGGGAGCAAAGGGCGCCACGUGUGGCGUUUUGCGAGUACCUGAAGAAAAAGCAUCGGCUAACUCCGUGCCAGCAGCCGCGGUAAUACGGAGGAUGCGAGCGUUAUCCGGAUUUAUUGGGUUUAAAGGGCGCGCAGGCGGAAGGUCAAGUCAGCGGUAAAAUU
rnacentral:rRNA from 1 species